rnacentral:rRNA from 1 species
CCUACGGGUGACAGCAGUGAGGAAUAUUGGUCAAUGGGCGCGAGCCUGAUCCAGCCAAGUAGCGUGAAGGAUGACUGCCCUACGGGUUGUAAACUUCUUUUAUAAAGGAAUAAAGUGAGGCACGUGUGCCUUUUUGUAUGUACUUUAUGAAUAAGGAUAGGCUAACUCCGUGCCAGCAGCGGCGGUAAUACGGAGGAUCCUAGCGUUAUCCGGAUUUAUUGGGUUUAAAGGGAGCGUAGAUGGGUUGUUAAGUCAGUUGUGAAAGUUUGCGGCUCAACCGUAAAAUGGCAAUUGAUACUGGCAGCCUUGAGUACAGUAGAGGUAGGCGGAAUUCGUGGUGUAGCGGUGAAAUGCUUAGAGAUCACGAAGAACUCCGAUGGCGAAGGCAGCUUACUAAACUGCCACUGACAUUGAGGCGCGAAAGUGUGGGGAUCAAACAGGAUUAGAUACCCGGGUAGUC